UACGUAGGGGGCAAGCGUUAUCCGGAUUUACUGGGUGUAAAGGGAGCGUAGACGGAACAGCAAGUCUGAAGUGAAAUCCCCGGGCUCAACCCGGGAACUGCUUUGGAAACUGCGAGUCUGGAGUGUCGGAGAGGUAAGCAGAAUUCCUGGUGUAGUAGUGAAGUGCGUAGAUGUCAGGAAGAACACCGGAGGCGAAGGCGGCUUACUGGACGAUAACUGGCGUUGAGGCUCGAAAGCGUGAGGAGCAAAC
rnacentral:rRNA from 1 species